CGCGGGCCUGGUCCCAGGCUGCUUGGGUUGUGCGGGUACCUGGUCCCCCAGGGCGGAGCCGCAGCGCUCCUGGUCUGCGGGACGUGGCCCUGUAGCUGGAACCUGGCGCAACUCAGAGAGCUGUCCUCGCAGAGGCGCUGGUCCCAGACCUGCGGCUCCUACCCCGGCCGGCGCUGGCUGGAGGGACACCUGGCCUGGGUGGAGCCCACUCCUCAGCACCCACCUCACUUCUGGCAGUAUUCUGCAGACCCCAGCCCUGUGCCUGUGCUCCUGCACAGCUGGAGAUAAGGAGUGGGCCCUGGAAGAUGCUCAGUCAGGCCCUGCUCCAGAUUUUA
rnacentral:lncRNA from 1 species